rnacentral:misc_RNA from 1 species
AGAAUUGAUCACAGGCCUAGGGACACAACAAGCUCAACAUGCACCAUAUACAUUUUACUAUAGUGGGCUGGGGUUGCUGGGCUUGGUAAAAAUAUUGUCAAAACCUACAGGUUGGACCAUGUUUUGGCCCCAGAUAUUAAAAUUUCAACAUGACAUGAGCAUGGCCCAGUCAAUGACCACCUCAUUACAAACAUAGACAUCUAAUAGAAUGCAUAAUGCAAAUAUGAACGGGAAAUUAGAGUUCUUAUUAAAGAUUGCCCAAG